rnacentral:rRNA from 1 species
GAUGAACGCUGGCGGCGUGCCUAAUACAUGCAAGUCGAGCGAACGGACGAGAAGCUUGCUUCUCUGAUGUUAGCGGCGGACGGGUGAGUAACACGUGGAUAACCUACCUAUAAGACUGGGAUAACUUCGGGAAACCGGAGCUAAUACCGGAUAAUAUUUUGAACCGCAUGGUUCAAAAGUGAAAGACGGUCUUGCUGUCACUUAUAGAUGGAUCCGCGCUGCAUUAGCUAGUUGGUAAGGUAACGGCUUACCAAGGCAACGAUGCAUAGCCGACCUGAGAGGGUGAUCGGCCACACUGAACUGAGACACGGUCCAGACUCCUACGGGAGGCAGCAGUAGGGAAUCUUCCGCAAAGGGCGAAAGCCUGACGGAGCAACGCCGCGUGAGUGAUGAAGGUCUUCGGAUCGUAAAACUCUGUUAUUAGGGAAGAACAUAUGUGUAAGUAACUGUGCACAUCUUGACGGUACCUAAUCAGAAAGCCACGGCUAACUACGUG